rnacentral:rRNA from 1 species
GACGAACGCUGGCGGCGUGCUUAACACAUGCAAGUCGAACGGAAAGGCCCUGCUUUUGUGGGGUGCUCGAGUGGCGAACGGGUGAGUAACACGUGAGUAACCUGCCCUUGACUUUGGGAUAACUUCAGGAAACUGGGGCUAAUACCGGAUAGGAGCUCCUGCUGCAUGGUGGGGGUUGGAAAGUUUCGGCGGUUGGGGAUGGACUCGCGGCUUAUCAGCUUGUUGGUGGGGUAGUGGCUUACCAAGGCUUUGACGGGUAGCCGGCCUGAGAGGGUGACCGGCCACAUUGGGACUGAGAUACGGCCCAGACUCCUACGGGAGGGAGAAGUGGGGAAUAUUGCACAAUGGGCGGAAGCCUGAUGCAGCAACGCCGCGUGCGGGAUGACGGCCUUCGGGUUGUAAACCGCUUUCGCCUGUGACGAAGCGUGAGUGACGGUAAUGGGUAAAGAAGCACCGGCUAACUACGUG